UACGAAGGGGGCUAGCGUUGCUCGGAUUUACUGGGCGUAAAGGGCGCGUAGGCGGCCAGUUAAGUUGGGGGUGAAAGCCCGGGGCUCAACCUCGGAAUUGCCUUCAAUACUGGCUGUCUUGAGUGUGAGAGAGGUGUGUGGAACUCCGAGUGUAGAGGUGAAAUUCGUAGAUAUUCGGAAGAACACCAGUGGCGAAGGCGACACACUGGCUCACUACUGACGCUGAGGCGCGAAAGCGUGGGGAGCAAACAGG
rnacentral:rRNA from 1 species